rnacentral:lncRNA from 1 species
GGCGUGCGCACAGGUUGGGCAGGGUGGAGGUGGGGCGGUUAGGGUUAUCUAGAUGAUCAUGGCAGCCAAAGGAACCCUGGAAAACCCUAGAUGCCCCUUUAUAUACAAGGUGUCACUUUGCGAGGAACCCCUCCAAAGUCUAAUAUUUACAUUCCAGCCCCUGCCAACGAGUGGAUUAUGCAUAUAGGUCCCUCGACAUUCAAAUUCGCGCAAGACCGCGCAUAAAAUAUUGGACAUUUUCGCGAAUAAUCGAUUUUGCCAACUUGACCUCUCAGCAGACUUUUCACCAUUCCUGAAGAUCCGUCCGUCGGAUUUCCGAACGGAUUGCGCCAACGCGUUCAGCAUGACUGGGGCAUCGAAUCUAGCAUUUUAUUUCGUCUGAUUUGGUCUCCGAUCAGCGACGAAACCUGCCCUCUCAAUCUCUACCCAUAAACCACUUAUAUUAAUACAUGUAAUUUCCAUUAAACCCCUUUUUCUCGACAACCGUGCAUCAGAACCCAAUUCCGUCAGUGCCAUUGGGUCCAGAAUGGUCGAGCCAUUCGAAACGAGCUAUUGAAGUCCUAUAUUCGGAGUUUGAUGUGCACCAGAACCCUUCUCUAUUCAUUGGUUCAUCCGGAAAAUCGGAGUUACUAUUCACUUAAGUCAUCGGUUCGGGUCGCGUAACUUCUCCAUUUUAGCUCAUUUUUUUCUGAAAUUUGACGAGUGCUUUAGUAAUUAUAUUACACACAAAAACAUCGUCAAUCAAGGGUUUAAUUUUAUUUUUCCAAAAAU